rnacentral:rRNA from 1 species
AGCGAACGCUGGCGGCAGGCCUAACACAUGCAAGUCGAACGGACCCUUCGGGGUUAGUGGCGGACGGGUGAGUAACACGUGGGAACGUGCCCUUUGGUUCGGAACAACUCAGGGAAACUUGAGCUAAUACCGGAUGUGCCCUUCGGGGGAAAGAUUUAUCGCCAUUGGAGCGGCCCGCGUCUGAUUAGCUAGUUGGUGAGGUAAAGGCUCACCAAGGCUACGAUCAGUAGCUGGUCUGAGAGGAUGAUCAGCCACACUGGGACUGAGACACGGCCCAGACUCCUACGGGAGGCAGCAGUGGGGAAUCUUGCGCAAUGGGCGAAAGCCUGACGCAUCCAUGCCGCGUGAAUGAUGAAGUUCUUAGGAUUGUAAAAUUCUUUCACCGGGGACGAUAAUGACGGUACCCGGAGAAGAAGCUCCGGCUAACUUCGUGCCAGCCGCCGCCGUAAGAC